UCCCUGGGUUGUUUGCCAGUCGUUAUGUCCUCGACCCUUUAUGCGCAAACCAGGAGGUCUUUUUCCACGGUGAGUGUGCAUGUCCGGUUUUCCGGAACGCCUGUAGCCUGUUAGAGACCACCGCCUUGAACCGCUGGGUUCAAGGGCCUACACAGACAGCGGCAAUCUGGGGAG
rnacentral:other from 1 species